rnacentral:rRNA from 1 species
CAGCCGCCACGGGAAUACGGAGGGUGCAAGCGUUAAUCGGAAUUACUGGGCGUAAAGCGCACGCAGGCGGUUUGUUAAGUCAGAUGUGAAAUCCCCGAGCUUAACUUGGGAACUGCAUUUGAAACUGGCAAGCUAGAGUCUUGUAGAGGGGGGUAGAAUUCCAGGUGUAGCGGUGAGAUGCGUAGAGAUCUGGAGGAAUACCGGUGGCGAAGGCGGCCCCCUGGACAAAGACUGACGCUCAGGUGCGAAAGCGUGGGGAGCAAACAGGAUUAGAUACCCCGGUAGUCCCUGUCUCUUAUAC